AACUAACGCUAUUWUUGAUACAGUUUCUGUACUAUAUUG
rnacentral:misc_RNA from 1 species